rnacentral:rRNA from 1 species
UACGUAGGUGGCAAGCGUUAUCCGGAAUUAUUGGGCGUAAAGAGCGCGCAGGUGGUUGAUUAAGUCUGAUGUGAAAGCCCACGGCUUAACCGUGGAGGGUCAUUGGAAACUGGUCGACUUGAGUGCAGAAGAGGGAAGUGGAAUUCCAUGUGUAGCGGUGAAAUGCGUAGAUAUAUGGAGGAACACCAGUGGCGAAGGCGACUUUCUGGUCUAUCAUUGACGCUGAGGCUCGAAAGCAUGGGCAGCAAACAGGA